GGAUGUGAGGGCAAUCUGGCUGCAAUAUCUGUCACCCCAUUGAUCAAGGUUGAUUCAGCUGAUCUGGCUGGCUAGGCGGGUGUCCCCUUCCUCCCUCACCACUCCAUGUGCAUCCCUCCUGAAGUUGCACACUUGGUCAAAGAGGACAGCCUUCUCCAAAUAGAGAUGGACCAGUCUUCAGUCCAGGGUAUACGAGUAGCUGUGCUCCCCUGCUAGAACCUCCAAACAAGCUCUCAAGAUUCUUUUUUAUUUUAUUUAAGAAAGGAUAAAUUAACAAAACCAUAGGGU
ensembl:misc_RNA 7SK 7SK RNA